rnacentral:snoRNA from 1 species
AAGACUCUACUUUCAGGGAUCAUUUCUUUAGUCUGGAACUAGAGGAUUGUGUUUCUACAGAGGUUGGUCUGGCUGUCCAUGAUGAUGAAUGAAGAUGUUUCCUUCAGAGCAGGAAGCUGGUGACAAGAUGAGAAUCUUCUUCACUGAUGAAGACUGUUCAGUGUUUCUGGAUGCGACACUGAAGGAGGAAACAUUGUCUGAGUGGA